rnacentral:rRNA from 1 species
GCUAGAUGGGCCCGCGUUUGAUUAGCUAGUUGGUGAGGUAACGGCUCACCAAGGCGACGAUCAGUAGCCGACCUGAGAGGGUGAUCGGCCACACUGGAACUGAGACACGGUCCAGACUCCUACGGGAGGCAGCAGUGGGGAAUAUUGCACAAUGGGCGCAAGCCUGAUGCAGCAACGCCGCGUGAGUGAUGAAGGCCUUCGGGUCGUAAAACUCUGUCCUAAGGGAAGAAGAAGUGACGGUACCUUACCAGAAAGCCACGGCUAACUACGUGCCAGCAGCCGCGGUAAUACGUAGGUGGCAAGCGUUAUCCGGAAUUAUUGGGCGUAAAGGGAGCGUAGGCGGUUUGAUAAGUCUGAGGUGAAAGUUCGGGGCUCAACUCCGGAUUGCCUUAGAAACUGUCAGACUAGAGUGCAGGAGAGGGCAAUGGAAUUCCAUGUGUAGCGGUAAAAUGCGUAGAUAUAUGGAGGAACACCAGUGGCGAAGGCGGUUGCCUGGCCUGUAACUGACGCUGAGGCACGAAAGCGUGGGGAGCAAAUAGGAUUAGAUACCCUAGUAGUCCACGCUGUAAACGAUGAAUACUAGGUGUCGGGAUCGCGAGGUCUCGGUGCCGCAGCUAACGCAUUAAGUACUCCGCCUGGGGAGUACGGUCGCAAGACUGAAACUCAAAGGAAUUGACGGGGGCCCGCACAAGCGGUGGAGCAUGUGGUUUAAUUCGAAGCAACGCGAAGAACCUUACCAAGUCUUGACAUCCCUCUGAAUGGCGCUUAGCAGCGCAGGUCUUUCUAGUUAUGGCGGAUACAGGUGGUGCAUGGUUGUCGUCAGCUCGUGUCGUGAGAUGUUGGGUUAAGUCCCGCAACGAGCGCAACCCUUGCCUUUAGUUACCAGCAUUCAGUUGGGGACUCUAGAGGGACUGCCGGUGACAAACCGGAGGAAGGUGGGGAUGACGUCAAGUCCUCAUGGCCCUUAUGUCCAGGGCUACACACGUGCUACAAUGGCCGGUACAAAGAGUUGCGAUCCGCGAGGUGAAGCAAAUCUUCUAAAGCCGGUCCCAGUUCGGAUUGCAGGCUGAAACUCGCCUGCAUGAAGUUGGAGUUGCUAGUAAUCGCGAAUCAGCAUGCCGUGGUGAAUGCGUUCCCGG